CCGAAUAAUCCAUUUCCUCACAUGUGGAAAUGUUAAAAGACGGUUUCGGCUGUCACUACAGGAUGGGCCCGCGGCGCAUUAGCUAGUUGGUAGGGUAACGGCCUACCAAGGCGACGAUGCGUAGCCGACCUGAGAGGGUGAUCGGCCACACUGGGACUGAGACACGGCCCAGACUCCUACGGGAGGCAGCAGUAGGGAAUCUUCCACAAUGGACGAAAGUCUGAUGGAGCAAUGCCGCGUGAGUGAAGAAGGUUUUCGGAUCGUAAAACUCUGUUGUGAGGGAAGAACAAGUACGAGAGUAACUGCUCGUACCUUGACGGUACCUCAUUAGAAAG
rnacentral:rRNA from 1 species